rnacentral:lncRNA from 1 species
CUCUUCAAUUAUCUCAAUUUUUUAUAUUUUUAAAUUAUAUCAAUUUAUUUGUUAAAACCUUUUACUCCACAAUAUUAGGUAAUUACUUUUUACCUUCAACUUAACCUAAAUUUUCUCUGCAAAAGCAGGAUGGAUUAAACUGCUUAACCCAUGUAUCAUAUACUGGAUAUCAACUGCUCGUACUAUAGUUUAUAUUUCUUCCUCGACUGUACGUUCUAAAGUUCCUUCUUUCAACUGCGAUUUCUCCGAUGUCGCCUUCCCUCAGCCCUAGACCAUUUUCUUAUCAAGUUCAUUUUUUUCCAGAAGCUCUUCAUUAAUCCCCCUGUUUUCAUUAAAAUGAGUUUGUCCCAACUUCUAAGGUACUUCAUUUUCUCCAUGGAUUGUUGUUAUCUUCUCCUGCUUCCUUCUCAAUUCUCAAUGUCUCUUCUAUUCUAUGUUUUUUCAGAAAACAUUCUUUCUCGAUACAUAGUGGUUACUCUGAGGUACUUCUUUUCCUUUUUCCAGUUAAAUUAGAGUUUUUGUUUUAUUUUUGUGAGUUUAUUGCAAAUUUUCUUUCUUAAUUAGACUUUAUUUCUAAUCACGCUUACCGGGUAUUUUUCGUUUCAAUUCAAUGUGUAAGAUUUUGAAUAUUUGAUUAUGGUACUAUGUAUCUGCUUUUUGCUCUUUCUUUCGUGCUCUUUUUUUUCUGGGGUAGGAUAUGUGUAUUCAUGUGAAAAUUUGUUCAAACGCUUCCCCGGAAAUUUUCAUAUUAUAUGCACAAAAUGCAACAACACAUACCAAUAAUCACAUUGAAUUUCCAUCUAGGGAAGAAAUUGUGUUGAAAAGGGAAGAAUUUUGAUGCUGGCAACGUAUUUGACGGUAUGCCUAAAAUAACUGAAUAUUCCUUUUUUCUAGACUUUUAACUAAAGUCGAUAUUAUCUUCUCUCCAAAAUUUGUAAGAGCUUUAGUGUUUGACGAUAUGCCUAAAACAACUGAAUAUCCUUGGAUUGCAUCAUGAUUCUUGGGGACAACUACACUGAUGUCCAAGGUUUUCUAUCUGGUUACAUUUUAUGAACUUUGAUAUUGAAUUAUUUAUUUUAUUUUUUACAGGAAUUUUACUUUAAAGUAGUAGUUGCCAAACUUUAUUUCCGUUUAAACCAUGCGUUGCAGCAGCAUAUCGAAGCCAUUUGUUAAGAAAAAAAGUGGUCCAAGAUAUUACUCAGUGCCGUAUUUACGUCUUGCUUUUGAAUUUUUAGCUUUGAAUCUCAAUGGAAUCAAAUUGCUUAUGGUGGAGAGCUUCGACCAACUAUUUCAAUGUGCCAACUGAAUUGCCACCCGAUUCGGGGGAAAGAAUGAAACAGGGAAGAACAUUGAUGUAGCCAAGGUACUUGAUUAUAUGCCUGAAACACUAAAUAAUAUUUUUAAUUUUCUUAAUGAUAGGUUCUGCAACAUUAACAUGAUUUACCUGUUUGGAAUCGUAAGUAUGGGGAUUGAGAAAUAUAGUACAGUAAGAAGAAACUAUUCUUUUGGUAAUCUACCAAUUUUAUAUUAAGUUUCAACCUAGAUCGGCAUGGUCCAAACUUUGUUUUCCAUAUGAAGAGGUAGGGGCUAAUUUUAGAAAGUUGGAGGAUGUCUGCAAAGCCUUCACAGCAAAGUAAUGGUGGAGGUUCAGAACAACGAACUCCUUAUGGUCCCAAUUUGUCAAAGCCAAAUAUUUUAGAAUCUAUCAUCCACUGUUUAGUCAAUGGACUGCUGGCAAAUCCCAUAAUUGGCAAGCUAUGUGCAAAUUGAAUCGUAAGUACGGGGAUUGAGAAAUAUAGUACAGUAAGAAGAAACUAUUCUUUUGGUAAUCUACCAAUUUUAUAUUAAGUUUCAACCUAGAUCGGCAUGGUCCAAACUUUGUUUUCCAUAUGAAGAGGUAGGGGCUAAUUUUAGAAAGUUGGAGGAUGUCUGCAAAGCCUUCACAGCAAAGUAAUGGUGGAGGUUCAGAACAACGAACUCCUUAUGGUCCCAAUUUGUCAAAGCCAAAUAUUUUAGAAUCUAUCAUCCACUGUUUAGUCAAUGGACUGCUGGCAAAUCCCAUAAUUGGCAAGCUAUGUGCAAAUUGAAAUAUGAAUUAGAGCAGAACAUCUUAUGGAGAGUUGGGAGAGGUAAUAGCAGUUUUUGGUACAAUAAUUGGACCAAUUUUAGUCCUUUGUCUCCAGCUUAGGCGAAGAUGUCGGGUAUGACAAUACCAAAGUUAAUGAAGUAUAUAAGGAUGGAGUAUGGAACUGGUCUUGCUUACGUAUUCAACCUCCUGAAGCUGUUAAAACUUUGGUAGCCUCUGUUCACAUCACAAUUGUCCAAGAAGAGGAUGAUACUCCAAUCUGGACAAUUACUCUUUAGUAAAAUUCAGUGUGGCCUCUGCUUGGAAUGCAUUAAGACAAAGAAAGGAUCUUGUUCCUUUUGACUCUAAGUUAUGGCAUACAGACGUCCCAUUUAAGAUGUCUUUCUUGGUUUGGAGAGCUGUCCAUGGAAAAAUCGCAACAGAUGAAAGGAUCACGAGGUUUGGGAUUUCCUUAGCCUCUAAAUGUUGUUGCUGCCUUUCUCCAGGAAUGAUCCUAGGCGAGGAAAUGUGUGAACACUUAUUUUGUCAGGGACAAUUUGCACAACAAGUGUGGGCGAUUUUUGUUGGAAGGGUUGGAAUAGCUCACAUGAACACCGCCUUAAGAUCUCUGUUUGCUAACUGUUGGAAUCAGAAGUCCAAAAAUUCUGUUGCUGCUUUUGUUUUCCAGAUUAUGCCUCCUAUUGUUGUAUGAGAGUUGUGAAGGUCAAGGUGUUGUAGUAAAUAUGAAAUGGAGAGGCCAUCAGUGGCAAGAUCCAAAUGUCUUAUCACUUUUAACAUUGCCCAAUUAGUUAACUCUCAUUUUGGGAAGCUAACUGUUAACAAUAAUUGGGAAGAUAUAUGUAAACUCUUUGACUACUCUCUGGUUGAAAGAUGUAUAACUGAGGUCAAGUGGCUUAAACCACCCUUGCUCUUUGUUAAGUUAAACAGUGAUGGUAGUUGUGUUAAUGGGAAGUAUGGAGGUGGCGGGGUGGUUAGAGACAAUGGUGGUGAAAUGCUUAUGGCUUAUUCUAUACCAAUGGGUCAAGGAACAAGUAACUUAGCAGAAGCAGAAGCCUUUCUUUUUGGCCUAAAAUGGUGCGUUCAACAAGGAUAUGGACUGAUUAUUGGUGAAACUGAUUCCUUGCUACUUCACAACUGCAUUCAAGGCAUAUGGUCCACACCAUGGAGAAUCAACAGUGUUGUUAUGGAGGUAAAAACGGUGGUUGAACAAAAGGGUCUAAUCAUUAGACAUUGUUUUAGAGAAGCAAAUCAAGUUGCAGACAAGAUGGCUUCUCUAAGUCAUCAAUCCACACCAUGGAGAAUCAACAGUGUUGCUAUGGAGGUAAAAACGCUGGUUGAACAAAAGGGUCCAAUCAUUAGACAUUGUUUUAGAGAAGCAAAUCAAGUUACGGACAAGAUGGCUUCUCUAAGUCAUCAAUUUGAGGAAGUGUAUAUUUCACUUAUUUUGAUACAUUGCCGCGGCAAGUCAAAGGGCUCCUAAAUAUAGAUAGAUGACAAAUUCCAACAUUUCGAAUCAAGAAGAGAAGACCAAGUACCAUAGUGUAUGAACCACCAUGAGUUCUCAACUUUAUUACCAAUUGGCGUGUUGGUGCGGAGAUAAUCCCACCAAUUCUGUAGUUAUUGUAUGAAUUUGCUGUGUAAAAUUCUCAAUCUAUAUAGAAGUCCAGGCUAUACCCUCCGUUGGUGCGGAGAUAAUCUCACCAAUUCUAUACUUAUUGUAUGAAUUUGCUGUGCCAAAUUUUCAAUCUAUAUAGAAAGCCGGGCUAUACCCUCCUUCAAAUUGUAUCUUUUGCAUUGCAAUGGUAAUAAAAUCGUGACUUGGAGUUAAAAAGUUUCAACCGAGGUUUCACUAUUAUCCGGUUUGUUCACUUCUAACCUCUACAUUUUUCCCUUGCCACAGUUUUCCUCACCAAAUGCACUGAAGUCUAGGAAGCAAAAUAUAUUUUCGCCCACUGUUUGUAAUCCUUUCAAAGUACAUUAAUCUUUAUAAUUUAUGUUGUUUACUUAUUCUUCUAAAAUUGUUUACAUCCUAAUCUUACUGUAUAUGUGUGUACAACCAAAGAUUGGGUCGGGUGCCAAAAUACCAUGUAAGAGAUUGAGGUACAAUCCAAAACUUCUUCACUACUACACUUUUAGCGCAAUUCAUAACCAUUGGUGUGAAUAUUCUAGAAUACUCUAAUUCUCUUCCUAAAUCAAUAACUAAGGAUGUAAACAUUAUGUUAAGAUUCUAAAACACUUUAAACUUUGUAAAAAAAAAAAAAACUUCACUACUAUAUGAUUUUAACACAAUAUAACUAAUGUCUAAAUAUUACCAUGAACUACUAUAAUUAUUUGCCUCAUUACUGCUUUUUAGGACAACAAUGUCUUUAAACGUUGAUUAUGUCACGACCCGGAUGUUCCACUACCGGGAGUCGCCAUUGUUGUUUUUUACUUGGAAGCAAAGUUCGUCAACAAUGUCUUUAAAUGUUUCAUAUAAAGAUUCUUCCUACAUUACUAUUGUUAUAUUUGGCCUGCUCAUUUCCUUUGCGUCCUGCUUGAAGUCCAAAAUAUGCAUUUUACAAAGCGACAAAACCAUAAUGAUCAAAAACAUACUUUUUCCACAUCAAUAUUGUAAUACCAGGAAAUUUUUAUAUUCUGCAAUUUUCUUAUAUCUUGCUCUUUUCCUUUAUUCAAAAGAAGGGGAAAAAUAGGUCACGCCUUCAACAACAAUAUCUAUAAAUAUUCUUUUUAUAUAGUUUUAGUGUUAUAAUGUUUAGGCUGUACCAGAUUUUUAUUGUAGCCUUAUAUUUUGGUACUGCAUAGUAGUUCAACUUUCUGUUACUUCUCUUUGUCUAAAAAUCAUGCAUUCAAUAAUAAUAUGUUUAAAUAUUUUUUAUAUUUAGUUUACUGAUAUGAAGUUUAGAUUAUCUUAGCUUUUUAUCGUAGUCUCAGAAAUUUAUAUUGGAUAGUAGUUUAACUUCCUCCUCUGUUAGCAUUUCUUUCUCUACACUUUUAUGUUGCUUGCAGCGCUAUAUAUUAUGUACAUCGAAUUUUUGCGAAUAAUUAUCAAAGGUAGAUUUUUAUGCAUGGUGCAUUACAUUUUUCACUGUAACAAGUGCAAUUAAAGAGCCUGAAGUCUCCAUAGAUUCGAUGUAUCGAAACGUCUCACAAAUGUGGAUUAAAUAUUUCAAAAAUAAACAACUACAACUGAGAUCCGAAAUAUAUGAAAGAGUUCACCCGAUCAAUAAUGCAAAAAUUGACUUUCAAAAUAUUCGCGUAUGUAAAAUUUAUUACGUAUGUUAUUGGAUUUAUGACUUAUUAAUUACAUUAUUGUAGAUAAAUAAUUUAUAAGUAACUUUACCAAGCGAAUAGUGUGACUUACUCCUGCAAUAACUUAUAAUUGUUUGGUUAUCUUUAUGUCAAGGGCUAUAUAUAGAGUGGAAAGAACAUCUAUUUAAUCCUGUAUAUAUCAUUUUCACUGUAUGCAAGCACAUUUCAUUCUAACUAUGUGUUUUAAAUAAACUAAUGUUAUCAAAUGUUUACUUUUACAAAUUAAAGUAUGUUUCCAUGUGUUUGCAGAUUCGAGUUAUUUUAAAAUUGAGAGCCCGUUUGGCUUUGCUGAUUUAGAGUAGCUGAUAAGCAUUAGGUGAUGAAAAGCACUUUUAAGUGCUAAAGUUGAUUUAAAAACAAGCAGUUACAUGUUUGGAUAAAAGUGCUGAAAUUAAUAAUAAGCAGCUGAAGAAUUGGGUAUACGAAGAGUUUUGUUUUAAAAAGAAAAUUUUAGAGAUAGAAUAGUAAGGAGGUGUUUGGCUAAGCUUAGAAGCUGGUCAAACUGGCUUAUAAGCACUUUUGGCUUAUCUACGCGUUUGGUAAAAUUAAAAGUGCUUAUAAGCCAAAAAUAAGUCAAAAGCCAUAAGUUGGUUUCCCCCAACUUAUCAAAUUUCAGCUUAUUAGCACUUUAGGUUUUACCAAAAUAUUUACUCUUCUAUUAAAACAAAACUCUUCGUAUACCCAGUUCUUCACCAGCUUAUUAUUAAUUUAAGCACUUUUAUCCUAACACAUAACUGCUUAUUUUUUAAAUCAGUUUCAACACUUAAAAGUGCUUUUCAACACCUAAUGGUUAUCAGCUACUCUAAAUGAGUUAACCCAAACAGGCUCUAAAUUUUUUGGUCAAACGUAAAGUGCUUAUAAACUAAAAUUUGAUAAGCUGUGGGAGACCAACUUAUGGCUUUUGGCUUAUUUUUGGCUUAUAAGUACUUAAUUUAUAAGCAUUUUAAUUUUACCAAACGCAUAGAUAAGCCAAAAAGUGCGUAUAAGCCAGUUUGACCGGCUUAUAAGCUUAGCCAAACACCCUCUUAGUUAGUUCAAAUGGCAAACAACUUAAUGUUCACGGUUUGCAGGUUAGGAAUAAUUUAUAGUCGUUGUUUAUAUAAAUUCAGAUAGAAACUUGUAUUUUGGUGGUAAUCUUCUGUUGCUCCUCUACCUUUCUCUCUUUCUAUUAGCUUUUAUAAGGGUGUUUUUCGAUUUAAAUAUGUAUUGCUAUGUAGUAAAGCAUUGUUCAAUAAUAAAAAAAAUUCUGUUGUCUGAUGCCUAUAUGACACAAAAUGUUGUGGGAGAUUGGCCAUAUAUAAAAUGUCUUUGUACAUGGAGGUCCUAUUCUUCUGACGUUUGUUGUUGUCUAUUUUCAGGAAAAUAUAACACAAAGCUGCUUGAGGAGUAUGUCAUUGCUAUUGAAAAAGUUCAUUACAUGUUUGUACCAGAGUUAGACUAUGAGUUUAGAUUAAUUGAUUAUGUAAAACGUUAGGGUGAGAGAAAGAAUAAAGAAAAGCGUCGGAUGAAUAAGCACUCAAGUAACGG